rnacentral:rRNA from 1 species
CACUAGGAGCCGAUGAAGGACGGGACGAACACCGAUAUGCUUCGGGGAGCUGUAAGCAAGCUUUGAUCCGGAGAUUUCCGAAUGGGGAAACCCACCACUCGUAAUGGAGUGGUAUCCAUAUCUGAAUACAUAGGAUAUGAGAAGGCAGACCCGGGGAACUGAAACAUCUAAGUACCCGGAGGAAGAGAAAGCAAAUGCGAUUCCCUGAGUAGCGGCGAGCGAAACGGGACCAGCCCAAACCAAGAGGCUUGCCUCUUGGGGUUGUAGGACACUCUGUACGGAGUUACAAAGGAACGAGGUAGAUGAAGAGGUCUGGA